rnacentral:rRNA from 1 species
AACGAACGUUGGCGGCGUGGAUUAGGCAUGCAAGUCGAGCGAAUCCUAGUCCCUCACCUUGCUCUUUGGCGAGCCGGGGCAUGUAAGUGCCCGGAGUUCGGAUUGAGGGUGAGGUGAGGGGCUGGGGGAAGCGGCGCAAGGGGCAGUAAGGCAUGGAUAACCUACCCUGGGGACGGGGAUAGCUUCUCUAACGAGAAGGUAAUACCCGAUGACGUGACUGGUAGACAUCUCUGGUCACCAAAUGAAUUUCGCCCUGGGAGGGGUUCAUGUGGUAUUAGCUUGUUGGUGGGGUAACGGCCUACCAAGGCAAAGAUGCCUAGCUGGUGUGAGAGCAUGACCAGCGCCACUGGGACUGAGACACUGCCCAGACUCCUACGGGAGGCUGCAGUCGAGGAUCUUCCACAAUGGGCGAAAGCCUGAUGGGAGCGGCGCCGCGUGUGCGAUGAAGG